UACAGAGGUCCCGAGCGUUGUUCGGAUUCACUGGGCGUAAAGGGUGCGUAGGCGGUCGGAUAAGUCUGACGUGAAAUCUCGGAGCUUAACUCCGAAACGGCGUUGGAUACUAUUCGGCUAGAGGAAUGGAGGGGAGACUGGAAUACUUGGUGUAGCAGUGAAAUGCGUAGAUAUCAAGUGGAACACCAGUGGCGAAGGCGAGUCUCUGGACAUUUCCUGACGCUGAGGCACGAAAGCCAGGGGAGCAAACGGG
rnacentral:rRNA from 1 species